UACGGAGGGUGCAAGCGUUAUCCGGAUUCACUGGGUUUAAAGGGUGCGUAGGUGGGUUUGUAAGUCAGUGGUGAAAUCUCCAAGCUUAACUUGGAAACUGCCGUUGAUACUAUAAAUCUUGAAUGUUGUGAAGGUGAGCGGAAUAUGUCAUGUAGCGGUGAAAUGCUUAGAUAUGACAUAGAACACCAAUUGCGAAGGCAGCUCACUACACAAAGAUUGACACUGAGGCACGAAAGCGUGGGGAUCAAACAGG
rnacentral:rRNA from 1 species